rnacentral:pre_miRNA from 1 species
UUGCUACUCUCUCUGUCCGGAAAAGUUUGUCCCUCAAAUGGAUGUAUUUAGCAUCAUGUUAGUGCUAGAUAUAUCCAUUUGAGGAACAAGUUUGGGACAAACUUUUUCAGACGGAUGGAGUAUAUA